AACGUAGGACGCAAGCGUUAUCCGGAGUUACUGGGCGUAAAGCGCGGGCAGGCGGCUCUGUAAGUCUGAUGUGAAAGCGCCCGGCUCAACCGGGCGAGGCCAUUGGAAACUACAAAGCUGGAGGGCAGUAGAGGCAGGCGGAAUUCCGGGUGGAGUGGUGAAAUGCGUAGAGAUCCGGAGGAACACCAGAGGCGAAGGCGGCCUGCUGGGCUGCACCUGACGCUGAGCCACGAAAGCCAGGGGAGCGAACGGG
rnacentral:rRNA from 1 species